rnacentral:tRNA from 1 species
GCCUGGGUGGCUCAGUUGUUUAGGCAUCUGACUUCGGUUCAGGUCAUGAUCUCAUUGUCUGUGAGUUCGAGCCCCGCCUCAGGCU